rnacentral:rRNA from 1 species
UACGUAGGGUGCAAGCGUUGUCCGGAAUUACUGGGCGUAAAGAGCUCGUAGGUGGUUUGUCGCGUUGUUCGUGAAAUUCCCUGGCUUAACUGGGGGCGUGCGGGCGAUACGGGCAGACUGGAGUACUGCAGGGGAGACUGGAAUUCCUGGUGUAGCGGUGGAAUGCGCAGAUAUCAGGAGGAACACCGGUGGCGAAAGCGGGUCUCUGGGCAGUAACUGACGCUGAGGAGCGAAAGCGUGGGGAGCGAACAGG